CAACAGGCCAUAACUGACUGAUUUCACAGAGCGCAGACAAAUUCUUUGAGGAAUUAAACUUUUUCAGACUGUUCCCCGGACCGGAAAGACCUCUCAUAUUUCUUAAAGUCCACAACUACAUAAAAGCCAGUCCGAGAGAUUCUGAUUUGGUUUGAAUACUGGUACAGAAAUUAUUGUACUGUGCCGGAAUCAGAAGUGGUCACCAUUUACUUCAGUUGUGUUGGAUUUGGCUUCAACGCUGUUCACCCGUGCGACUCCAAAAGUGUUUAUUUGGACCCCCUCCCUCAGCACAGUGGUGCGACUUUUCUGAAUAUCCUUUGAAUAGCAUCAAGUACAGGGAGCUGGACAUGCUGGGCCCCGGCAGGUCAUCGAUGGUCUUCAGCCUCCCUGUGUCGGUCGUCGUCUGGACGUCCAGGUUCCUCCUGAC